rnacentral:rRNA from 1 species
UACGAAGGGUGCAAGCGUUACUCGGAAUUACUGGGCGUAAAGCGUGCGUAGGUGGUUUGUUAAGUCUGAUGUGAAAGCCCUGGGCUCAACCUGGGAAUGGCAUUGGAAACUGGCGACCUAGAGUGCGGUAGAGGGUAGUGGAAUUCCCGGUGUAGCAGUGAAAUGCGUAGAGAUCGGGAGGAACAUCCGUGGCGAAGGCGACUACCUGGACCAGCACUGACACUGAGGCACGAAAGCGUGGGGAGCAAACAGG